CCUUUAUGGACUCUUUCCCCCAUCCCUUUUAUGUAGGGGCUCUCCCCUACAUAAAGGGAUGGGGGAGAGAGACCAUAAAGG